GACGAACGCUGGCGGCGUGCUUAACACAUGCAAGUCGAACGGCAAGGCCCUGAUUUUGUGGGGUGCUCGAGUGGCGAACGGGUGAGUAACACGUGAGUAACCUGACCUAGACUUUGGGAUAACUUCAGGAAACUGGGGCUAAUACCGGAUAGGAGCUCCCGCUGCAUGGUGGGGGUUGGAUAGUUUCGGCGGUUGUGGAUGGACUGGCGGCUUAUCGGCUUGUUGGUGGGGUAGUGGCAGACCAAGGAUGUGGCUGGUCGGCGGCCUGAGAGGGUGACCGGCGACAUGGGUACUACGAGACGGCGCAGAGGGCUACGUUAGGCAGCAGUGGGGAGUAUGGCACAGUGGGCGGAAGCCUGAGGCGGCAGCGCCGCGGGCGUGAAGACGUCCUUUUGGUAAUGAACAGCUGUAGCCUGUGACGAAGCUGUUGUGACGGUAAUGAGUAAAUAAGCACCGGCUAACUACGUG
rnacentral:rRNA from 1 species